GACGAGUGGCGGACGGGUGAGUAAUGUCUGGGGAUCUGCCCGAUAGAGGGGGAUAACCACUGGAAACGGUGGCUAAUACCGCAAAACGUCGCAAGACCAAAGAGGGGGACCUUCGGGCCUCUCACUAUCGGAUGAACCCAGAUGGGAUUAGCUAGUAGGCGGGGUAACGGCCCACCUAGGCCACUAUCCCUAUCUGGUCUGAGAGGAUGACCAGCCACACUGGAACUGAGACACGGUCCAGACUCCUACGGGAGGCAGCAGUGGGGAAUAUUGCACAAUGGGCGCAAGCCUGAUGCA
rnacentral:rRNA from 1 species